UUUGAACAAAGACCCAGAUGAAGUGGGGAAGUGAACACUGCAAUGUUCUAGGAGAAGAGUGUUUCAGAAGGAACAACUGCUACAAAGUCCCCAAGAGAGGAGUCGGGAUGCAAACUGGAAAAAUACAAAUACAGAAUUGGAUACUGUAGAAAUACAGAAAACAAGUGGGUGUCACAAUUGGACCUUAGACAACUUUAGAUAUCCUCUUCUCUUCCAGCCUGGUUGGAAUAUGGUGGCAUCUUUGGUGGUGAGGUUUUGGUGAAGACAAGAGAAGUGGAAAAUGAAGGAGUACCAAGAAGUGCCAACCAUCAGAACCAUGCUCAGCUUGAUCCAGCAACGAGAAGGAAGCUAAGAGACCCCUCCCUGCCAUGAAGAUCCUCAGAUUGUCUGAAGCCUCAGAGCAUAAAGCCAGUGGGUUCUUUUGCUUGGUCCCCUCACUAUCCAGGCCGUCCAGAUAGGGCAUGCCCAACGCAGAAGCAGAGGAAAAGGAAAGAAGUGAUCUUUAUCCAAGGCUCAGAGCUUUGGACAUAAAUGUUAAGUCAAAUGUUUCAAAAGAGAAAGAGCCCUUCUGUGUCCUUGGCUUAUUGUGAAACAGCGAACUUUAAAAAUAUGAAGACCCUCUUUCUUCAUCUUAAUAUUGUGAUACUUCUAUCAUUUUUAUCACUUCCCCCAACAUGGAUAAAGAUCUAGUCAUACACUAGAUGGAAAAAGUGUUUUCUUUCUGCAAAGAGAUAUGUUUUUGUGGUUUUCUAUGUCAAGGACAACUGAGCUCAGAAGGCAUAAAUUAGUUUUAUUUAGAGUCUGAAUUUAUACAAGACAAAAGACAUUUUAUUUUCACUCAAGUUUGGUCUUAAAACCAUGUCGCUUUGUUCUGAAGGUGUAUUUUUAUUUUUGUAGAUAUUAGAUUUAUAGACCUUUCGUGAAGGAUAGAUAGUAUCGUUAAGUAUAGGUGUAUUUUAAUCAAUUAGCAAAGUGCUAAUAAUCAAUUGCAUUUAGUGAAUGAAUGUUUAAAAAAAGAAUUUCGGGCGCCUGGGUGGCUCAGUUGGUUAAGCGACUGCCUUCGGCUCAGGUCAUGAUCCUGGAGUCCCGGGAUCGAGUC